UACGUUGGGAGCGAGCGUUAAUCGGAAUUACUGGGCGUAAAGCGUGCGCAGGCGGUUUUGUAAGGCAGAUGUGAAAUCCCCGGGCUUAACCUGGGAAUGGCAUUUGGGACUGCAAGGCUUGAGUGCGGCAGAGGAGACUGGAAUUCCUGGUGUAGCAGUGAAAUGCGUAGAUAUCAGGAGGAACACCGAUGGCGAAGGCAGGUCUCUGGGCAUUAACUGACGCUGAGGAGCGAAAGCAUGGGGAGCGAACAGG
rnacentral:rRNA from 1 species